CCUACGGGGGGCAGCAGUGGGGGAUAUUGCACAAUGGGGGAAACCCUGAUGCAGCGACGCCGCGUGGGUGAAGAAGUAUUUCGGUAUGUAAAGCCCUAUCAGCAGGGAAGAAAGAAGACGGUACCUGACUAAGAAGCCCCGGCUAACUACGUGCCAGCAGCCGCGGUAAUACGGAGGAUCCGAGCGUUAUCCGGAUUCAUUGGGUUUAAAGGGUGCGUAGGUUGUUUUAUAAGUUAGCGGUGAAAUACCGAUGCUCAACAUCGGGGCUGCCGCUAAUACUGUAGGACUAGAGAUCGGAUGCAGCAGGCGGAAUGUGUAGUGUAGCGGUGAAAUGCAUAGAUAUUACACAGAACACCGAUUGCGAAGGCAGCUUGCUAGGCCGGAUCUGACACUGAUGCACGAAAGCGUGGGGAUCGAACAGGAUUAGAUACCCCUGUAGUC
rnacentral:rRNA from 1 species